rnacentral:lncRNA from 1 species
GAGCUUUAGGCCGAUAAUUCCUAAACCAAUUGGCUUUAGGAUAUCAGGUUUUAAACCCUAACAGACUUACUUGCUCGAGUCAUAAAGGUUUUUGAGAGAAGUGAUAAUUUUCCCAUGUUUAUUUUAUAGACAUUUGAUAUCAACAACCAUCCUCAAUUUAAAGCUUUCACCUAUUUCUCACCUUUUGGGUCUAGGCAAUCCACACAAUACAGAUUCAUGCACUGAGCCUCUACUUAUCUCCAUGUUUACUUAUAGUGGCUUAACCAUCUCCAAACUAUCCUAUGGUGAUUUAACGGGUUAAUGAUAUAGAGGGUUAACCUAGGUUUCUCAUGUUUUACUCCAACAAUCCUAUUCAAUAACUUAACAUGAAAACAUGAGUGGCGUGCAAAAGAAUGUCAAGCAUUGCAUCAAUAAGUAUCCGUUAAUUAAAUCCUGUACUAUAUUAACAGUUCUAUAUUUCACCUGUCCAAUAAUCACAUCAUAGCCGGCAAGGCUACCAAACCCACA